AUUUACGCCAUUCAGCCUAGAGAGCUAAUGAAGCACCCCAAUGAGGCAGGAUGUGUUUGGAUGAAUAGAAGGCACAUGAUCCAUUCACAGUUACAAAAAACAUUUUAUUUUACUUACGUGGACAUGAGAAGUAUGAUACAUUCUAAAUAAAAGAGUAUCAAAAUACAAUUUCAGUGGCCAAAUAUGAAUCUUACACAAGCAUCUUGUACUCUGGUUCUUUUGAUUAAACUGUCCUCUAUGUCUCUUCAGUUUCCAAAAAUAAGACUAAUUUUCAUUAAUCUGUGAUACGCACCAGAGUCAUACAAACAAAUCUAGAGAAGGGCCAAUGACCUAAGAAAGCAUAAUAAUUUAGAUAAUACUUUUACAUCUAUUCCCUGCCACUUCCCGUGUUCUCAAAUUUAUACUAGAUUGUAUCUUAAAAUUACUGUCCUAGUUUUUCCAGGUUCCAUGGGUAUGAAUAAACGCCAUCUAAUGAAGGAGCUCCUUUCAUCUUACGGAUCCCUUCCCUGAGACCAUAAUGGUGAGAAAUGAAAAGCAUGUAUGAAAGUAUAACAAAACAGGUUUCAAACUUCAGGUGGUAAGCCAUCAAUAAAUGUAGCCUUUUCCAGAAACCUCAAAGAACUGAAUGAAAUCAUUUUAUAAACUGAGGGUAAUUAGACCCUUCCACAGAUGUCCUUACUACAUGGACACACAUCAUCUCACGAGUUUUAAACAAUUUCACUUUUAAUUGUCUGUGGAAUUUAACAUCUGAGGUUGGUUAAUCUUCGAAAACAAUAGACUUAGUUGCCUCUACUAUGAAUUUUCUUAUGUACAGUUCAUUGAGAGAAUUGGUGAAACAAUUCAUCACUUUCCUUACAUGGGUACUAAUUCUGUCUGAAUAUUUCUGCCUGAAUUCUUAGGUGUAUCAUGAGGUCAUUGUUUACAGACCUUGAUAGCUUUGUAUGGUUUUCAUCUUAUAUGAAUUCUUUCAUGACCACAAAGUUGUACAUUUUUUAUAAAGCUGGUCACACUCAUUACAUUUAUAAGGUUUCUCUCUAGUAAG
rnacentral:lncRNA from 1 species